ACACUCACACACAUACGCACGCACUCAAACACGCAGGCACGGCCAAUUAUUGAUUUUGUUUAGGUUUCCCUUUUUCGGCACAUACAAUUUACUCGGAUGUUUUUCUUUUUUUUUUCUUUUUUUUUCAACUGUUUUGUGUUAUUACCAUUUUAAAACUGAAGUCCUGCUGCUACUAAUCUACAUGUGUGUGUUUGUAUGUUCAUAUGUAUAUUUGAUUCGGAUUGAAGUGCCAGCUCCGUGCAGCGACUGCUAAAAUAGCACGACGGCCAGUAUUAUUGUUCUUAUUCGCAUACACUCAACAAGAAGCACCACUCACACUAAUGCGAGCUUGAAACACACUUCUCGUAUUUGUUACAAUCUUUUUUUCCGCGUGGGCGCUCCGGUGUCGUUAACGUUUCACGUCCAACUGAAGCUGAGACUGGCACAACACUGCGGCACAAAGCAUUCACAUACAAUAAUAUGUAUAUAUGUAUGCAUAUACGUGUUCGUAUCUCAUUUCCAAAAAGCUAAACUUGUUUCUACGCUUUUGUAUGAGCUCAUCCAAUGCUGCACCCGAUUCCCAUGCCGACGCCGCCUCCAACUCAACACUAACAACCACCAUUGCUCGUUUGUAAGAUUAUUUUUGUGACGCGGCAAAGACGCUGGAAGUGCAAACGCGAACAAGUUGAACAAGCUUUUUGUUGUUUUGGGGAGGGAUUGGAAGGCUAACCGCCUGCCCGCAUUGCAAACAGCUGACAGCUUUCAAACUCAUGCAAAAGUGUAAAUUGCCUCUGCGUGUGAAGAGUGCAGAUCUAUAUACAUGUCAAUAUUGGGCAAAAAUGGUGCAUUAUUUGAAAUUGCUGGCAUUUUUAAGUCCGUUUUUAAACAUAUAAAUACAUUUUAAAUUCUUAAACAGAAAUUAUGGGAAUUAUAAUAUACGAAUUUAAA